rnacentral:rRNA from 1 species
GAUGAACGCUGGCGGCGUGCUUAACACAUGCAAGUCGAACGAUGAAGUUCCUUCGGGAAUGGAUUAGUGGCGAACGGGUGAGGAACACGUGAGAAACCUGCCUUUCAUUUUGGGAUAACUCCGGGAAACCGGGGCUAAAACCGAAUACUCCGUCUCGGCGGCAUCGCUGAGCCGGGAAAAAAUUUUGAUGAAAGAUGGUCUCGCGGCCUAUCAGCUAGUUGGUGAGGUAAUGGCUCACCAAGGCAACGACGGGUAGCCGGCCUGAGAGGGCGCCCGGCCACACUGGGACUGAGACACGGCCCAGACUCAUACGGGAGGCAGCAGUGGGGAAUAUUGGGCAAUGGGCGCAAGCCUGACCCCGCGACGCCGCGUGAGGGAUGAAGGCCUUCGGGUUGUAAACCUCUUUCAGUAGGGAAGAAGCGAAAGUGACGGUACCUAAAGAAGAAGCACCGGCUAACUAUGUGCCAGCCGCCGCCGUAA